AACGAACGCUGGCGGCAGGCUUAACACAUGCAAGUCGAGCGCCCCGCAAGGGGAGCGGCAGACGGGUGAGUAACGCGUGGGAACGUACCCUUUGCUACGGAAUAGCUCCGGGAAACUGGAAUUAAUACCGUAUGUGCCCUACGGGGGAAAGAUUUAUCGGCAAAGGAUCGACCCGCGUCUGAUUAGCUAGUUGGUGAGGUAACGGCUCACCAAGGCAACGAUCAGUAGCCGACCUGAGAGGGUGAUCGGCCACAUUGGAACUGAGACACGGUCCAAACUCCUACGGGAGGCAGCAGUGGGGAAUAUUGCACAAUGGGCGAAAGCCUGACGCAGCCAUGCCGCGUGGAUGAUGAAGGUCUUAGGAUUGUAAAAUCCUUUCACCGGUGAAGAUAAUGACUGUAGCCGGAGAAGAAGCCCCGGCUAACUUCGUGCCAGCAGCCGCGGUAAAAC
rnacentral:rRNA from 1 species